GAGUAACGCGUGAGGAUCUGCCUCAGGAGGGGGACAACGAGUGGAAACGGUCGCUAAUACCCCAUAUGCCGAGAGGUGAAAUGUUUUUUCGCCUGAGGAUGAGCUCGCGUCAGAUUAGCUAGUUGGUGGGGUAACGGCCUACCAAGGCGACGAUCUGUAGCUGGUCUGAGAGGAUGAUCAGCCACACUGGGACUGAUACACGGACCAGACUCCUACGGGAGGCAGCAGUGGGGAAUUUUCCGCAAUGGGCGAAAGCCUGACGGAG
rnacentral:rRNA from 1 species